rnacentral:lncRNA from 1 species
CCCCCCCCCCCCACCUUCGUCUUCUCCAGACUUAGACCAAAACCUCACAAGCUUCAACGAUUUUUUUGAGCUUCAGCAACCCAAACAACCCCUACUCUCUUCUUCCAUCUUCACAACCCAAAACCCCUCACCUCUAAGACCGGCAACAGACCACCCAUCACGCCGGACAACACACCUCCCUUCACCCAUCGUUGCUUAUACUUCUUCCCGUUUACAACAACCAGCUGGAAACGCACACACUCACGCACGCACAGUAAGAGAAGAGGUACAAAACAGACAAAAAUCAAAAAGGAAGGCUCUAACCUGAAAGUUUUUAUUUGUUUUCUCUGAAUUUUCAGAAUAUAUACAUGUAAGUAGUCUCUGUUUUAGAAGUUAAUUGGAUUGAGCUUAAGCAAAACGAAAACGUCUCAUGUUUCCUCUUUGCGAUUCUGAGUUCUUGGUUUCAAUUUUUGAGUUCGAUUGAGGUUGAGUUGAGUUCGAGUUUGUCGACGAGAUUCGAGUUCCUCCGGC